rnacentral:rRNA from 1 species
CCUACGGGUGGCAGCAGUGGGGAAUAUUGCGCAAUGGGCGAAAGCCUGACGCAGCGACGCCGCGUGAGGGAUGAAGGUCUUCGGAUCGUAAACCUCUUUUGUCGGGGAGCAAAAGACGCCACGCGUGGCGUUCCGAGAGUACCCGAAGAAAAAGCAUCGGCUAACUCCGUGCCAGCAGCCGCGGUAAUACGGAGGAUGCGAGCGUUAUCCGGAUUUAUUGGGUUUAAAGGGUGCGCAGGCGGAAGAUCAAGUCAGCGGUAAAAUUGAGAGGCUCAACCUCUUCGAGCCGUUGAAACUGGUUUUCUUGAGUGAGUGAGAAGUAUGCGGAAUGCGUGGUGUAGCGGUGAAAUGCAUAGAUAUCACGCAGAACUCCGAUUGCGAAGGCAGCAUACCGGCGCUCAACUGACGCUCAUGCACGAAAGUGUGGGUAUCGAACAGGAUUAGAUACCCGGGUAGUC